CCAUAGCUGGACGUGGUAGUUUUAGCCUUAAACUAAUCAUGGUAAAUUUUCAUGCCCUUUUGUAUGUAGGUUCUCUCCAUAAAUGAAGAAGGGCUAAGGCGAUGCGAAGAGAAUACAAAAGUCUUUGGUCGGCCUAUCAGCUCAUGGACCUGCCUGGUGGACUUGGAAGGGCUGAACAUGCGCCACUUGUGGAGACCUGGUGUGAAAGCGCUGCUGCGGAUCAUCGAGGUGGUGGAGGCCAACUACCCUGAGACACUGGGCCGCCUUCUCAUCCUGCGGGCGCCCAGGGUAUUUCCUGUGCUCUGGACGCUGGUUAGUCCGUUCAUUGAUGACAACACCAGAAGGAAGUUCCUCAUUUAUGCAGGAAAUGACUACCAGGGUCCUGGAGGCCUGCUGGAUUACAUUGACAAAGAGAUUAUUCCAGAUUUCCUGAGUGGGGAGUGCAUG
rnacentral:sRNA from 1 species